UUCUGGCUCUCACUCUCAGCCACUCUCAUCUCGUCUAAACCCUUAUUUCCAAAACCUUCAAGCAACCUCGCGACUCCAAACCUCAUCUGUGCAACUUCAAAUCCUUGAGCUAUCUCGCUAUUUCAAAUCCUCACUCUCACCACUUUCAUUCUCUAUCUCAUCUCUGUUUCCAUUUCUCUGUGGUGACGCUUCUGACAACUCUCACUCACAAUAGCUUCGUUCCUAACGCCACAUUCACAACUCACAAGACCGCAUAACUCUACAAAUGUGGAGGAUUCCACCGAAACACGCAGAAACAGCUCUAUCUGCACUUUUGAGCCUUAUGCCUCAUAGCUCCUCCAAGCUCCUCUCUCAAGUCAAUCAGCCCCCAAGUUUUGUGCAAUGUGGAAUGUGACAAGGAGUUCAUUUUGUGCGAAUACAAUAGAGAUGUCGACUCUUACAAGUUCAUUUCAUUUUUCAUAAUCAUCCCUCCUGUAUCUGGUUUUUGCUGGAUUCAAUAUGCUUAAUUUUUUUAAGAACUCUUUGUUGUCAAGCAUGUUUCACUUUUAUGAAGUAUAUUUAGUUAAUUUUUUUUUU